UUCUUUUUUCCCUUCCAUGUUGCUGUAUGGUAUGAAGAAAGUAUGAACUUUUGGUGCUGAAACUGUGGCUUUCAGCAAACAACAUAGAAAAAUCCAUUCUGAAUAACUGAAAAUGUAUGGAAUAAAAAUAGUCACAAAUUCAAAUUGCUACAGAGGCUCUCAGUUGAAACUCAGCAUCAAUAUUAUUUUAUAACAAGAUGUCUUGCUUAUUCCUUGAUUAAUAACCUUGAUUAUUCCAGGAACUAAUUGCCACUGAAACUACGCAAUGCUGACCCACUGAUUUCUGAAUAUUAAAAAUCUGACAUGGAAGGAGAGAAGAGAUUUACAGAGAGCUCCUUUAACAAUAAUAAGUAGGCAAAAUAUCAUCCUUAGCACUUGUCCAAAGCAGCUGCACUGAGGGACAAUGCCAUCUGAGCACAUAUUCAAGUAUGAUGAUGAAUGUUUGUGAAAAACAAAACAAAUGAAAACAGUCCCCAAUCUAUCAGUGGAAUAUACAGGCAGUAAAUAGGUGUGGAAGAACUACAUGAGCACAGCACAGCUACAGCUGUUGGCAACACAACUCCAGAGGAAACAGUUUUGGAGAUCAGCCAUACUGGAAAGUCUCUGCUUUUCUCCUUAACUCCAGAAAGUCUGCAUAGAACUGUCUGGUACUGGAGGUUAAUACUGUAAUUCUUUAGAGAAGUGGGAGUGCUCUCCUUGGGUGAGUUUGGUAUCUGCUCUGCAUGGCACAGAGAUGAAGUAGUAUCCACUUAUACAAGUGUUUCCUUCCUUCCACAAAUGCGUUAAAUUCAUUUCUUUAGUUUUGUACCUCAAGCAAUGCCAAAUAGAGCAUCCUAAAGGGUGGUUUCAGGUGGGGAUGGGCUGCUGAUUGGAUAGCUAAGAGGCCAUGGGCACUAAUGCUUUUAGAAGUUUGCCUCCUCUACCUUUCACAUGUGGUCCAGAGUUUAGUUGAUGAGAAAAUUCAAGUCAAGCUGAAAUUUUCUGCUGGUAAGAUUAGCAGAGAUACUUAUUGGGGAAGGAUGUUUCUUUUGCUGUUGUAGUUUUCUGCAGUAGAACAGAAUACGGUCUGUCUGAAAAUGGUUUAUGACAAAUUCCCAACAUUACAAGCAAAAAAGUUGCUGAUGGUGCUUUUUUUGUGCUGUUCUCAUGGGUGCAGCUGUGCUUUAGUAUUGGCUUUAUAUUUGCUCUAUUGGGACACACAGUGGAUGUUAUCUCAUGCUUUGGAGCUAUCCAAUCUUUAUUUUACAUUUUUCUGUGAAGUACCAAGUGUAUACUUAAGAGCACUUGUAACAGAUAAACCUUGGGCAUUUUGAAGCUGUUUGUACUACAUUUCUGUCUUCCAAAUACAGAUAGACUAUUUAAAUAUGCAAGUAUUUUAAUAUCUGAACCUUUCUGUCUCUUACAUUUUGUUCUCCAUUUUCAUUAGAUUUUUUUAUUUUAUUUUUUUUUACAUACAAUCAGUGUGUCUUUCCGUGUGCUCUUUUUAGUUUUAAUAGGAGCAGAAUAACUGUAGAGCAAAAGGAUUUAGAUGUGUGGAAUGUGAGUUACAGAAGAAAAUGCUUUUGGUAAAUAUGCUAAUUUAGGCAGUUUGUUGCAGUUCAUAGGGACUGUCCACACAUUGCAACAAACAGCUCAUUUUUUUUUUCCUCUGUCAUAAUUUUCCUCAUUUGGAAUGUGUGGAGCAUGGCAAUAAUUCUUUGGUAUAAAAGGUCUCUCUUUGAAAUUCAGUCUUCAUGUGCUACUCUGGUUUAACUGAUAUUGUAAUCAAAAGCUAUAUGUGUGUGUGGAGUGACUUUGAACUAGCUGUGGCUGAUAGUAAGGAUACACACCUGCUGGUGUCCUUGAUCCAUCCCACAUGGGCUCAAAGACAACAUCAUGCCUGGGAGAAAAAAGGAACUUAAUUCAUGGAGGCCUCAUACUUGCACAUCAGAUGAAUGUCCUGUAAAGGGUCUCUGCAUAAAAUCUUCAAUGAAUUUUCACUUGCACUAAACUCCAUGACUGUUCUGAUAUGGACACAAGAGCAAGUCAAUUUAAGACUACUUGAUUGAGCCUAUACAAAUGAUACAUACAUCUUCUGUGUUUCAUUUUGGAUCUUUUGACUGCUGGUUAUUGGCCAUAUUUUUACUUUUUAGAAAAAUAUGUACCCUCAGGUAAAAAAGAAAUAGUCCAGACCCAAAGAACAUGAAGUUUGUGUGGACAGCCUUAGGAAUCACAAAAAAGACAUUUGUCUGUCAGAGUAAGAAGCUGAACUGGAGCAAAUAUGGAGGACACAACGAGGUUAGAUUUCCUUGUAGCAGCUCAUGACCUUAUCAUCAUUUUCCCAGUCACUCCUGUGUGGCCCUCUUACCAUCCAUUUCUUAGCUCAGCAUAUCUUUCCUCAAACCAGCCAAAAAGUCUCUCCAGGUCCAUAACCCAUUGUCUUAAUGGACAUGUAGUAAUCACUGUUAAACCUGAAAAUGGAGUUUGUGACAUUGGAAGAAAAUAUUUGUAUUGCCCAUUUUGAGGACAAAUAAAUUCUUCAUUGGCAUUUUCACUUUCUUAUGGUUAUGGUAAUGCAUUUAAUGUAUCAGAAACAUUACCACUUCUGUCUCUUGGGAUCUCCUAUUUUUCACGUCUCUACAGAGGGUCUGUAGUUAUCUUUGGAAAUUGUAUAGAUCACAAGAAACCAUGAUUAACAGGGAUUUGCAUUGGCAAGAAUAAUUCUAAGGGUAGCUGAGUGGAGUUGGGAGGGAAGUGAGAGUUCAUUUGCUCUAGCUCUAGUUAGAUGGCAGAUACUCCAUGAUAGAUGAGCAUUUUAGUGUUCACUGGUGAAUAGUGCAUGAAAAUGCUGUAGUUUCCAACAUUUUUUCCAAUCAUUACUUUAUUUUCCUGGAUUACCAAACAUUUACCAUUUUCAUUUGAAGAUUUAUUGAAAGAAAUGAUAUCAGGUGGUUAAAAAAAAAAAAAAAAAAAAGGAGUAUUUGCAAAUAGUAACUGAAAGGGUUCCUCCAGAUUUUGGAGUGACGAUGUCUUUAAUUCAAAGACAACAUGAGCUUUCAAAGGUAAGUAGUGGAUGAGAGAUGUUGUCAGGAAGGUGUGAGGGCUGGCUCCCCCAUGAAAUGAAGCCACUCCUGAAAUAUACAUUUAUUUUAUUUUAUUUAUUUAUUUUUGAGAAGAAUUGUCUUCCCUGUGUUGGAAAUCAGAUUUUUUCCUGAGGGCCACAGCAGUGUUCCAAGGGUGGGUGCCCACUGCAACCUCCUCCAGUUACCCCUGUCUCUCAACUGCUGCUUUGGCACAGUGCAGGGAAGAGAAAUGCAUCCAUGGGCUACUCAUAACGGGCUUCUGAAGAAAUUAUUGCUUUUUGUUUUGUUUCAGCAAACUGAAGAUAGUGUCCUACAGGCACAGAAUUGAAAAGGUGGUAUCAGUGUAUCUCAUUACAAAAAGCAUUUGCAAGCAGGUGAACUUCAGAAUGAAAACCUUUUCUUCAGCUUAAGGAGGAAGAGCUUCAAAAGCCCAUUCAGUCUCUUAGUCCUUUCAUGAAACCACAGCUGCUCUCCUUUCCUGACACACUGAUUUGGCAAAUGACUUUUUUUUAAAAAAAACAACAACAAACAACAACCAAAAAAACAACCUCCAUUGAAGAAAGUUUCAACUGUUCAACUUUGUUAUCCUAUGAGGCAUUCCAAAUGUCCUCAGCUGUUGUAAUAUAGCCUAUCACUACUUGUCCUGUCCUCAGUUAACAGGCAGGAUAGGUGUCACAGUUUUGGCCUGGAUAGAGUUAUUUUUAAAGGCUCAUAUGAUGCUGUGUUUUGAGAUUUUUAAUGAAAAUAACAAUGAUAACACACCAAUAUUUAGUUGUUGCAGAGCAGUGCUUAAACAGAGCCGAGGCCUUUCCUGCUCCUUGUGUUCCCUGCCAGUGAGGAGGCUGGGGGUGCACCAGGAGCUGGGAGGGGACAUAGCCAGGGGAGCUGGCACAGACUGGCCAAAAGAAUAUCCCACACCAUGUGGUGUCAUGAUGAGCAAUAACAGCUGGGGUAAAGAAGGAGGAAGGGGGGGGAUGUUCAGAGUGAUAGAAUUUGUCUUUCCAGGAAACCAUCAUCCAUGAUGAGUCCUGCUUUCCUGGCAGUGGCUGAAUUCCUGCCUGCUGUUGGGAAAUGAUGAAUGGAUUCCUUGUCCUGCUUUGUUUGCCCCAUGGCUGUUGUUUUGCCUAGUAAACUGUCUGUAUUUUAGCCCAUGAGUUCUCACACUUUUACCUUUCCUUUUCUCUCCCCCAUGCCAACUGGGAGAGUGAGCAAGCAGUAGUGUGCUGCUGAGCUGCCUGCUGGGUUAAACCACAACAGGGCACUGCUUAUCCUAUCCUCAGCUUGUUACCUUCUGCCUUGAUUCUCUUGUUGGGAAAAAAUGGAUAUUAAAAUCUCCUUUACCAUGAUAUCCCUGCAGCACCAUCUUGAAUGUUGGUUUCAUUUGUUUUCAUAAAUUUAUUAUAUGGAACAAUCCUUUUCUGUUAGUUCCUUCCAUUAUGAGAAUGGCUCAUACAAAGCCUGAAAAAAAAAUUCUAUGAAAAUAGGCGCUAGUUGAUUUCCAAGCUAGCUUUUAGGAACCAUCCUUUAUCCCCAUCCUGUUUUUCCUUUGAAACGAAAGUUGUAAAAAUCUGUAUUGAAGACCAUGGGAACAAAGAGGGAGGGAAGAAUAAAUGUGUUUAAAUAAGAAUUAAAGCAGAAGACAGAUCCCCUCUAAUGCUAAUAGAUUUCCUAUAACCAUCAUAUACUCUAAAAUCAAUCCCAGAAGCAAUUGAAACACUUGACUAAUAUAGCUUAAUUGACAGUUUGAAGAAAAAGAAAUCAUAUACGACUGAGUUUAUUGAGAUCUGCAUAAAGUUAAAUAUGACCAAAGGGGAUUUAGACUACUAACACUACAAUUAACAUAAGACUGAAAAAGGGAUUGAAAAAGGCUUUGCUUAAACAAAACCAAAAGUUUAUUCAAAGUUAAUAUUGUUUAAACACACUGGGUUAUUCUCUUUAUACUUUGCAUAACAGGAGGUAUUUUCCCAUGACAAUAUUUGUGUCAAUACUUUCCACCACCUAGUUCAAUAUUUAGCAUGAGAAUUAAUUGAUAGAUAUAUCCCUAUUUAUAUGAAGUGUAAGCAGUCCCACACUACUGUUAUAGCUACCCCCCUCAAAUAUUUAUUCAGGAAGUACUGCCUUGACACAUGGUGAUGAUAAUGUUUGUCUACCACGUUGUUUUCUGUGAUGUAGAUUUCUAUAACAGGAAUGUGAUGACACAGAUUUUGUUAUCAGAGGCAGAAGUGAAAACACAUUUUUUC